rnacentral:rRNA from 1 species
ACAGAGGGUGCAAACGUUGUUCGGAAUUACUGGGCGUAAAGCGUGUGUAGGCGGCCUUAUAAGUCGGAUGUGAAAGCCCAGGGCUCAACCCUGGAAGUGCACUCGAUACUGUAAGGCUCGAGUACUGGAGAGGUUGGUGGAAUUCUCGGUGUAGAGGUGGAAUUCGUAGAUAUCGAGAGGAACACCGGUGGCGAAGGCGGCCAACUGGACAGAUACUGACGCUGAGACACGAAAGCGUGGGGAGCAAACAGGA